UCAAGUGAAUAAGUGCAUCAGGUGGAUGCCUUGGCGAUGAUAGGCGACGAAGGACGUGUAAGCCUGCGAAAAGCGUGGGGGAGCUGGCAAUAAAGCUAUGAUCCCGCGAUGUCCGAAUGGGGAAACCCACUGCAUUCUGUGCAGUAUCCUAAGUUGAAUACAUAGACUUAGAGAAGCGAACCCGGAGAACUGAACCAUCUAAGUACCCGGAGGAAAAGAAAUCAACCGAGAUUCCGCAAGUAGUGGCGAGCGAACGCGGAGGAGCCUGUACGUAAUAACUGUCGAGAUAGAAGAACAAGCUGGGAAGCUUGACCAUAGUGGGUGAUAGUCCCGUAUUCGAAAUCUCAACGGUGGUACUAAGCGUACGAAAAGUAGGGCGGGACACGUGAAAUCCUGUCUGAAUAUGGGGGGACCAUCCUCCAAGGCUAAAUACUCAUCAUCGACCGAUAGUGAACCAGUACCGUGAGGGAAAGGCGAAAAGAACCCCGGGAGGGGAGUGAAAUAGAACCUGAAACCUGAUGCAUACAAACAGUGGGAGCACCCAUGUGGUGUGACUGCGUACCUUUUGUAUAAUGGGUCAACGACUUACAUUCAGUAGCGAGCUUAACCGAAUAGGGGAGGCGUAGGGAAACCGAGUCUUAAUAGGGCGAACAGUUGCUGGGUGUAGACCCGAAACCGAGUGAUCUAUCCAUGGCCAGGUUGAAGGUGCCGUAACAGGUACUGGAGGACCGAACCCACGCAUGUUGCAAAAUGCGGGGAUGAGCUGUGGAUAGGGGUGAAAGGCUAAACAAACUCGGAGAUAGCUGGUUCUCCCCGAAAACUAUUUAGGUAGUGCCUCGAGCAAGACACUGAUGGGGGUAAAGCACUGUUAUGGCUAGGGGGUUAUUGCAACUUACCAACCCAUGGCAAACUAAGAAUACCAUCAAGUGGUUCCUCGGGAGACAGACAGCGGGUGCUAACGUCCGUUGUCAAGAGGGAAACAACCCAGACCGCCAGCUAAGGUCCCAAAUGAUAGAUUAAGUGGUAAACGAAGUGGGAAGGCCCAGACAGCCAGGAUGUUGGCUUAGAAGCAGCCAUCAUUUAAAGAAAGCGUAAUAGCUCACUGGUCGAGUCGUCCUGCGCGGAAGAUGUAACGGGGCUCAAAUCUAUAACCGAAGCUGCGGAUGCCAGUUUACUGGCAUGGUAGGGGAGCGUUCUGUAGGCCGAUGAAGGUGCAUUGUAAAGUGUGCUGGAGGUAUCAGAAGUGCGAAUGUUGACAUGAGUAGCGAUAAAGCGGGUGAAAAGCCCGCUCGCCGAAAGCCCAAGGUUUCCUACGCAACGUUCAUCGGCGUAGGGUGAGUCGGCCCCUAAGGCGAGGCAGAAAUGCGUAGUCGAUGGGAAACGGGUUAAUAUUCCCGUACUUGAUUCAAAUGCGAUGUGGGGACGGAGAAGGUUAUGCUGGCAAUCUGUUGGAAUAGAUUGUUUAAGCCGGUAGGUAGAAGGAGUAGGCAAAUCCGCUUCUUUAAUAUCGAGACGUGAUGACGAGUGUCUACGGACAUGAAGCAGCAAAUACCACGCUUCCAGGAAAAGCCACUAAGCUUCAGUUUGAAUUGAACCGUACCGCAAACCGACACAGGUGGGCAGGAUGAGAAUUCUAAGGCGCUUGAGAGAACUCGGGAGAAGGAACUCGGCAAAUUGAUACCGUAACUUCGGGAGAAGGUAUGCCCUCUAAUGUAAAGGACUUGCUCCGGAAGCAUCUGAGGGUCGCAGAGAAUCGGUGGCUGCGACUGUUUAUUAAAAACACAGCACUCUGCAAACACGAAAGUGGACGUAUAGGGUGUGACGCCUGCCCGGUGCUGGAAGGUUAAUUGAAGAUGUGAGAGCAUCGGAUCGAAGCCCCAGUAAACGGCGGCCGUAACUAUAACGGUCCUAAGGUAGCGAAAUUCCUUGUCGGGUAAGUUCCGACC
rnacentral:rRNA from 1 species